GCUGCGGCAACAGCCUGCGCGCGCAUCUAUUUUAAAAUCAGUCAGUUACGACUAUUAACGCAACGGUGACAAGAGAUAUGUUUCCGUAAUAGAAAAGGUUAUAAACGUUGAUUCGUAACGGGAACGGUGGCUGAAAUCGUGUGUGCCACUUAAAUAUAUCUCCGAGGAUUUGUUUUGACCGUGACGAGCAGGUAUAUCCUUUGAUUACUUCGCAGCACGCUUGUCUCGAAUAGCCUAAGAAUGUAAACAGAGUUCGAGCAGUAAGUGUUGUGAUUCCUUCGCGAGCCGAACGUAGUGUCGUUUGCUCUUUGAUUUCGCAUAGACGUUGAACUAAAUAUUGCAUCAAUUCCGUAUUAAAUCGUUUUCUACUCGCGUAAAACGUAUUCGACUUCCAAGUACAGUACAAAAUAUAGGUAAAGGAAUUCGCGUAUCGGGUCAGUGACAUGUGCUUCGAAACGAAAUGCAAAUGGCCGUCAGCGGUCAACGAACAAUUUCGGAGGAAGAGUGUUACGUUUCUUGAGACUGUUGAUACAUACUAAAGACGUUUGCUAAUUAUUAUUAACGGAUAAAAGUGCUCAAGAAAAGAAGAUAACUACAAGCUUCAAGACAUGGCACGCAAAUACAUGGAGCUAGGAACGCAAUAAGGCGGAUUACAAAUACAAGCGUGGAGGGGGUACUACUAAAGCUCAAAGAUUACAGUUCGAGGUACUCUGCGAAUUGCCAUAUGAAAGCAUGGAGGCUGAAGGACACAGGUACCAAAUUUUCAAAGAUUGCUACCCUGAGAAUUAUUCCAUCGCUUGUAUGGCAGUGAAAAUAUUGCCGCCACCACCACGAUAUCAGCCAUCGAUAAAGUCUGUCUCUCUGCAUACACAGAAGCCGAAGAAGCGCAAGAAGACCAGGAAGAAGAAAUAGCUGGCAUGUUCAUUUAUUUUCAUUUAUUUUCAUUUAUUUUCAUUUAUUGUCAUAAAAUAUUAUACACAUUCUGUCGUUUUUAAUAAUAUCGCAGUCGAGUGUA